GAUGAACGCUGGCGGCGUGCUUAACACAUGCAAGUCGAACGAACCUUCGGGUGAGUGGCGGACGGGUGAGUAACGCGUGGGAAUCUGCCCUCAGGAGGGGGAUAACGGCUGGAAACGGCCGCUAAUACCCCAUAUGCCGAGAGGUGAAAUGAAUUUCGCCUGAGGAUGAGCCCGCGUCUGAUUAGCUAGUUGGUGAGGUAAGAGCUCACCAAGGCAUCGAUCAGUAGCUGGUCUGAGAGGAUGAUCAGCCACACUGGGACUGAGACACGGCCCAGACUCCUACGGGAGGCAGCAGUGGGGAAUUUUCCGCAAUGGGCGAAAGCCUGACGGAGCAACGCCGCGUGAGGGAUGAAGGCCUCUGGGCUGUAAACCUCUUUUCUCAAGGAAGAAGAUCUGACGGUACUUGAGGAAUAAGCCACGGCUAAUUCCGUGCCAGCAGCCGCGGUAAUACGGGAGUGGCAAGCGUUAUCCGGAAUUAUUGGGCGUAAAGCGUCCGCAGGCGGCCCUUCAAGUCUGCUGUUAAAACGUGGAGCUUAACUCCAUCAUGGCAGUGGAAACUGUUGGGCUUGAGUGUGGUAGGGGCAGAGGGAAUUCCCGGUGUAGCGGUGAAAUGCGUAGAUAUCGGGAAGAACACCAGUGGCGAAGGCGCUCUGCUGGGCCAUAACUGACGCUCAUGGACGAAAGCCAGGGGAGCGAAAGGGAUUAGAUACCCCUGUAGUCCUGGCCGUAAACGAUGAACACUAGGUGUCGGGGGGAAUCGACCCCCUCGGUGUCGUAGCCAACGCGUUAAGUGUUCCGCCUGGGGAGUACGCACGCAAGUGUGAAACUCAAAGGAAUUGACGGGGGCCGCACAAGCGGUGGAAGUAUGUGGUUUAAUUCGAUGCAACGCGAAGAACCUUACCAGGGUUUGACAUCCUGCGAACCUCUUGGAA
rnacentral:rRNA from 1 species